ensembl:lncRNA
AGAGACAUGGGAUACCACCAAGAAGGGGUGAUUGUGCGUCCUUCCUGCUCUGACAGACUGCGGUUUGCUGUUACAGAGUUGGGGUCCUGGUGUGGAUGUUCUAUGGUGGCAAUUACUUCUGCUGUGAGUGGAACAUGAAGGUCAGAUGCCGGUGACCUCAUAUCACCCAGCAAACACCCGGUGCCUCAGAUGUCCGCUCUGAUUUUGGAAGGCACAUGGCACCAUCUGCUUCCCCAGCACCGGGGCUGUUUGAAGGGCAGGGACUGGAUUGGAACUCGCUGUCCCCAUGCCCUCCCUCCCCACCAGCCUCACCUCCAUCUCACUCUGACUUACCCAAGCAAUGGCAAAAGUAGAACUGCUGAUUCAGCGACAAGACCCUCGGAGCCCGGUGGGAGGCUGCACCAGCACAUCUGAGCAAAGCCUGGGCUGUGUGUUCUGUGCUCUGAGCAACCAGCAAGGGCAGCCUCAUCCAGAAGGAAAACCCAGAGUUAGAGGGAGGUGAAUCUUGUGUCAGCAACAAACUCUGGGCUGUUUGGAGUGGGGAUGAGCCUCGUGCAGGAGUGGAGUCUUUUUUUUCCUUUGGGAGACAGUGAGCAAAUUCCCACCCAGUUGUUCCAGGACUUUGGCCUUAACUCCUUCGUGCUUUAGAAAUGAAUUUGGGUAAUAUUGCCGUUGAGGCAAGGAAGAGAUAGAAAUGCUAACAUUGGGAAUUUUUAUUGUUACUAUCCCUGACCAUAUCAAGGUUUCCAUUAGAAUGGGAAGCUCACAGAGUCUUGCAUUGACAUAAAUGGAAGAAAAAUCCACAGGCUCUCAGCUUUAUGGCUUGAAGAAAUAUCCAGGAAGCCAAGCAAUGUAAUUAGCAGGAUGCUGUUAAGCCAUUUAUAACAGAAAGCCCCCUAGAUUUGUUAAACCAACUAGUUCCAACUGUUCGCAAUGCAUAGGGUUAAUGGAAAGAUUUCUCCUGCAGCGCUCUGAGGCUGCUUGACAGAAUGGUAUGUUAAUCUUCACAUAAUAUGCAUGGAAAUCACUGGGCAGGUCUUCAUGAACUGGAUCAAUCAGAGCAGCAUCGGAGCUGGCUGCCUGAUUUGGCUGCCAUUCAUAUCUAUGCAUGCCAGGGAGAAAUUACUUUGUCCUAAGCUAUGUAUCAAUGCAUCGACUUGUAGACAUGUGCUAGACAGCUUGAGGAAGAGAGUGCCAUGAAUCAAUCAUAUAAAAGGGUUUGUUUUCUAAAUGGAAGCAGACUGCUCCAGACUCAGAUUUGAGCCUCAGGUUCCUGUUGAUGAAAAAUUUUUUCCCAUGUAUCUGCAAGACCAACUUCUUUCCCACAGAUCUCCCCACCUGCGUGUGCAAGUAUCUUUGCUGGCACCUCCUCCUGGUUGGGCAAUUUGGAUCAGUAGUACCGUUGCUCAACUGCAGAGCCCCACUGCACUCUGACAUAGAGCUGCGUGUGCACUGGGAUCCCCAGAGCCAGGAGGCUCGAGCACCUCUGGGUUACAGGGCAGGAGUCAGCACACCAGUAUAUUGAGUUUGUAAGCUCCUAGCAGUAGGGACCGUUGCUUUGUUCUGUGUUUGGAUAGUGAGCUGCCUGUGGGGUUGUACCUUCCGGUUAGGGCCCUUCAAUGCCAUGCUGGUACAGAGAAAUUAAAUAAUAAAAUAGCAGCAAUAACC